rnacentral:rRNA from 1 species
UACGAAGGGGGCUAGCGUUGCUCGGAAUCACUGGGCGUAAAGCGCACGUAGGCGGCUUUCUAAGUCAGGGGGUGAAAUCCUGGAGCUCAACUCCAGAACUGCCUUUGAUACUGGAGAGCUUGAGUCCGGAAGAGGUGAGUGGAACUCCGAGUGUAGAGGUGAAAUUCGUAGAUAUUCGGAAGAACACCAGUGGCGAAGGCGGCUCACUGGUCCG